CUCAUUUGAUUUUGAGACGCCUGUUCUAAGGGGCUUUUAGGUUGUCUACAGGGUGACAAAAAUUGACAUAAACAAACAAAUUGGGUUUACACCCCAUGUUGUCCUUACAGAAGGGUGAUAAAGUUGACCAUUUUGGCUCCCACAAUUGACUUUUCUUUUCAUUUUUUCAACUUUACACAUGUUCAAAGGGGAUCGUAAUAGAAGAAAGUUGG